rnacentral:rRNA from 1 species
AUUGAACGCUGGCGGCAGGCCUAACACAUGCAAGUCGAAUGGUAACAGGAAACAGCUUGCUGUUUCGCUGACGAGUGGCGGACGGGUGAGUAAUGUCUGGGAAACUGCCUGAUGGAGGGGGAUAACUACUGGAAACGGUAGCUAAUACCGCAUAACGUCGCAAGACCAAAGAGGGGGACCUUCUGGCCUCUUUCCUUCAGAUUUGCCCAGAUGGGAUUAGCUAGUAGGUGGGGUAACGGCUCACCUAGGCGACGAUCCCUAGCUGGUCUGAGAGGAUGACCAGCCACACUGGAACUGAGACACGGACCAGACUCCUACGGGAGGCAGCAGUGGGGAAUAUUGCACAAUGGGCGAAAGCCUGAUGCAGCAAUGCCGCGUGUAUGAAGAAGGACUUCGGGUUGUAAAGUACUUUCAGCGGGGAGGAAGGGAGUAAAGUUAAUACCUUUGCUCAUUGACGUUACCCGCAGAAGAAGCACCGGCUAACUCCGUG